rnacentral:misc_RNA from 1 species
AGCUGUUCCCCUCUGGAGGUUUUUUGACCUUCAUACUUAUUGGGCCCGAGAGCAAAUCUCGUGGCCCAUUUUUUUUGCCUUG